UACGUAGGGUGCGAGCGUUGUCCGGAAUUAUUGGGCGUAAAGAGCUCGUAGGCGGUGUGUCGCGUCGGCCGUGAAAACCUGGGGCUUAACUCUGGGCGUGCGGUCGAUACGGGCAUCACUAGAGUUCGGCAGGGGAGACUGGAAUUCCUGGUGUAGCGGUGAAAUGCGCAGAUAUCAGGAGGAACACCGGUGGCGAAGGCGGGUCUCUGGGCAUUUCCUGACGCUGAGGCGCGAAAGCGUGGGGAGCGAACAGG
rnacentral:rRNA from 1 species